rnacentral:lncRNA from 1 species
ACUUUUGGCCUGUGGAUCAUGAUCUAGCUCUUGGAGCUACAGCUCUAACACCUGCCUAUCUGCCGCCAUGUCCUCCACCAUUUAAAAUGGACUCAACCUCUGAAACUGUAGGAGACAGAGGAAGGCCUCCACAGAGGCAUCACCAGGUUUCCUGGGAAACAGUAGGUCACACAUUUCCUGGAGCUACUUCUGGAAGACCUGACCCAGAUGGGUGGAGCUCACGUUACUGGUCUGCGUGGUUAGUUUUGGGAUUUAGUUUUCUGAGACAGUAUCUCAAUAUAUAGUUCAGGUUGACCUCAAAUUUAUAAUCUCCCUGCCUUAGCCUCCCAAAUUCUGAGGUUACAAACACAUCACCAGACCAAUUCAUAUGUGUUCUUAACACACUCAAAACAAAGCUCCAAGCUGGGAGCUGAAGCAAUGGCUCAGUGGUUAAGUAAGAGUCCUUCCUGCUCUUCCAGAGGACUCAGGACCGUGUGUAACUCUAGUCACAGGGAAUCUGACUCCUUUUCUGGCCUUCUUCAGCACCAGGCACAAGUAUAUAGAUGUUCAUGUGUAUAAAACACCCAUAUGCACUAAACAGAUUUUAAAAACCAACACACACAAAUCCUCAAGGUUGUGCAUGAACACCAAUAAUCUCAGCAAUCAGGAGGCAUUGGUUCUGGGUUAGCCUGAGCUACAUCAUGAGAUCCUCUCUCAACAUAAACAAAUGUUUGGGUUGGUUUUUCCUCACGUAAUUUACUUCAUUUAUUGCACCUUCAUUCACUGCAGUCCCCUAUCACUCCUUUCAAUGCAGGUUACCAUGUUAGGUAUUUUGAGAAAGGGUAGAGCUGACUUCCUUUCUCAAUAGGAACAUGGGAGGUGGGUCAGCAGGUUAUUAGGUCAGAGUCGAUCACAAGCAGGUACCUUCUGCCUUCUGAGAGAGGUGGCCUGACAGUGCCAGUUUGUGUCAUGGUCAGCAGUAUAAUCCAGGUGUCAACCACUGAGGAAGAUGGAAACUUGGGUUGUUACAGACUCAACUCUACUCAAGACUCAGCCCACUAACUCUUUGAGUCUGCUCAUUUGAAAGGGAAUUUAAAAUGAUACCUGCUCACGGCACUCUGUCUGGCAUUUGUCUGGGCAUUUGGCUGGGUUCUCGCCUAUGUUGGUAGUACCCAGUGGUGUCAGCAGUACAUGGAACAGUUCUCAGCUCUGUAGGGAGGAGGGGGCGAUGUUUGGGAGGGUAUUUAGUUAAGGGGGAAAUGACAGCCUUUCACUGGGACUCCCAGUCUGUACUGAUUCUAACACCUCAGGGUCUUGGGAUGGUUAGAAGAUCUUUAGGUGCAGCUCCUGACCCCAUAGUGCUCACAAAUGUCUUGUACACAUUUAAAUGCUCAUUCCUUUGUUCUG